rnacentral:rRNA from 1 species
UACAGAGGGGGCGAGCGUUGUUCGGAAUUACUGGGCGUAAAGGGCGCGUAGGCGGCCUUCUAAGUCGAACGUGAAAUCCCCGGGCUCAACCCGGGAACUGCGUCCGAUACUGGAAGGCUCGAAUCCGGGAGAGGGAUGUGGAAUUCCAGGUGUAGCGGUGAAAUGCGUAGAUAUCUGGAGGAACACCGGUGGCGAAGGCGACAUCCUGGACCGGUAUUGACGCUGAGGCGCGAAAGCCAGGGGAGCAAACGGG